rnacentral:rRNA from 1 species
GACGAACGCUGGCGGCGUGCUUAACACAUGCAAGUCGAACGGAAAGGCCCUGCUUUUGUGGGGUGCUCGAGUGGCGAACGGGUGAGUAACACGUGAGUAACCUGCCCUUGACUUUGGGAUAACUUCAGGAAACUGGGGCUAAUACCGGAUAGGAGCUCCUGCUGCAUGGUGGGGGUUGGAAAGUUUCGGCGGUUGGGGAUGGACUCGCGGCUUAUCAGCUUGUUGGUGGGGUAGUGGCUUACCAAGGCUUUGACGGGUAGCCGGCCUGAGAGGGUGACCGGCCACAUUGGGACUGAGAUACGGCCCAGACUCCUACGGGAGGCAGCAGUGGGGAAUAUUGCACAAUGGGCGGAAGCCUGAUGCAGCAACGCCGCGUGCGGGAUGACGGCCUUCGGGUUGUAAACCGCUUUCGCCUGUGACGAAGCGUGAGUGACGGUAAUGGGUAAAGAAGCACCGGCUAACUACGUGCCAGCAGCCGCGGUGAUACGUAGGGUGCGAGCGUUGUCCGGAUUUAUUGGGCGUAAAGGGCUCGUAGGUGGUUGAUCGCGUCGGAAGUGUAAUCUUGGGGCUUAACCCUGAGCGUGCUUUCGAUACGGGUUGACUUAAGGAAGGUAGGGGAGAAUGGAAUUCCUGGUGGAGCGGUGGAAUGCGCAGAUAUCAGGAGGAACACCAGUGGCGAAGGCGGUUCUCUGGGCCUUUCCUGACGCUGAGGAGCGAAAGCGUGGGGAGCGAACAGGCUUAGAUACCCUGGUAGUCCACGCUGUAAACGGUGGGUACUAGGUGUGGGGUCCAUUCCACGGGUUCCGUGCCGUAGCUAACGCUUUGAGUACCCCGCCUGGGGAGUAUGGCCGCAAGGCUAAAACUCAAAGGAAUUGACAGGGCCCCGCACAAGCGGCGGAGCAUGCGGAUUAAUUCGAUGCAACGCGUAGAACCUUACCUGGGUUUGACAUGGAUCGGGAGUGCUCAGAGAUGGGUGUGCCUCUUUUGGGGUCGGUUCACAGGUGGUGCAUGCCUGUCGUCAGCUCGUGUCGUGAGAUGUUGGGUUAAGUCCCGCAACGAGCGCAACCCUUGUUCACUGUUGCCAGCACGUUAUGGUGGGGACUCAGUGGAGACCGCCGGGGUCAACUCGGAGGAAGGUGGGGAUGACGUCAAGUCCUCAUGCCCCUUAUGUCCAGGGCUUCACGCAUGCUACAAUGGCUGGUACAGAGAGUGGCGAGCCUGUGAGGGUGAGCGAAUCUCGGAAAGCCGGUCUCAGUUCGGAUUGGGGUCUGCAACUCGACCUCAUGAAGUCGGAGUCGCUAGUAAUCGCAGAUCAGCAACGCUGCGGUGAAUACGUUCCCGGG